UAAAUAUAUCGUUUCGUAUAUUACAUAUAAUUCUUGUAACGAUUAAAAAAACGAAUGCAUUAAAUAUGUAUAUAUAAUUUGUCAAAUGGAAUAAAAAAAAAAAAAAAAAAAAAAUGGCCACUGUAAAGACCGAAUCAUUAAAUACGUGCAAGAAAAUUAUGCAAAAUGUCCUAGACAAUGUUUUUAAAGAAGGAGAAUUAGAUAAGUGCUAUUUUCUCAUCGAACAAGCAAAACCAGAUUAUGAAAGCUUUUCUUUAUGUAAAAUAAAAUUUAGAAAUGAAUUAAUGUUAAAAUUAAAUGAUUCUGAUUUUAAGGAACAGGAAUCUUUUAAUUUAGUAUUUAAUAAUCCUGAGAUAAUAAAUAAAAAAAAUAAGAAUAAAAUAAAAGAAGAUUAUUGUAUAAACAAAAUAAACUUAUCAACUGCGGAUAAUAAAGAUAAUAAUAAUAAUAAUAAUAACAACAAUAAUAACAAUAAUAACAACAAUAAUAACAAUAAUAUCAAUAAUAACGUUAUAUCAGACAAUAAACUAACACAAAUAUUAAACAAUUUAUUAAAAUGUAAUGAAAACAAAAUUGAUGAACAUGCUAUAAAAGAAAACAAUUUACAUUUGUUACAUAAUUCAUAUUCUUUUUAUGAUGAAAUGAAUUCAAAAAGCCUUUACAUCAUCGACACAUAUAAUGAUUUUCAAAUAUCCACUCAAUUAAAUGGAUUAUCAAUUUUAUCAUUAAGCAAAUACAGUAAUCUCUUUUUAAACAUUUUAAACGAUCUUAAAAAUACCAAUUCUAAAGACUUCAAACAACUUAUUAAAGAUAAUGUUACAAUCGAAUAUGAUGAGAGAUUAUUAAAUGCUGACACAUCAGGAAAAAGAAAAAAAAAAACAAUUUAUAUUAAUGAACAAAUGGUUAUUUUAAAACUUUUUUAUAAAAACCAAGAAUAUAAAAUUAAAAGUAAAAUUAAUGGCUGGCAAGUCGAUAUCAAUGAAAAUAUUAUACUAAAUCCUCACAUAUUAUUUACUGACACUCAAGAAGCUUGGAUUGUUAUUGUGAAAAAGAAAAAUGACAAAUUACCAAAUACAUUAAGCUAUAUUCAAUAUCAACAAGAAAAGGUAGAAUUCAUUCAACAAUAUGACACUUUGCUUAAUUCUUUUUAAUAAAAAAAGUAUAUGUAUACAUACAAAUUUUAUGUAAAAACUGGUUCCUUUUUAUAUAAAUUGGUAUAUACGUGUAUACACACGCUCUUUUACAUACGCGUACAUAUAUGUUACAACACACUCUUAUAAUAUAAACCAUACCAUACUACAUAUAUAUUUUAUGACGUCAGCAAUUUUUUUUUAAAUUUUCGAAUACCUAAAUUAACCAUUAUAAGUUCAAUUUAUUUGAAGGAAAACUUUUUUUUUUUUUUUUUUUUUUAAGGUUUUUAUCAAUUAAUAAUAUUUUCAUAUAAAUAAAAAUAUUUUAUCUAAUCA
rnacentral:lncRNA from 1 species